ACACACGUUGUGAAGCUUGCAUGCGUGGAACAUCUGAACGGUGCUAUCGCACUUGUAACGAUGACUGCAAUAACAACUGCAAGAAGAAAGGGUGCCAUCAGUAGGAAUAACUUUUAAUCGGUUGCCCCUGCAUAGGAAAUAACAUGACCUGCUAUAGUCAUGCGUAGAUUUCGUAACGCCAUGACCUGGUUUUGGGGGAUGGCACAACAGGAUUGGGUCGUGGCGCAUCACCUCCAGCGUUUUAGCUGAGGAUUUGCAUUCUGUUUACCUGUACUGAAUAAUAUUGUUGACACCGUGUGAAACUAUAUAUGGUACUCCAAUGUUCCUUCUUCC
rnacentral:lncRNA from 1 species